rnacentral:rRNA from 1 species
UACGAAGGGGGCUAGCGUUGCUCGGAAUCACUGGGCGUAAAGGGUGCGUAGGCGGGUCUUUAAGUCAGGGGUGAAAUCCUGGAGCUCAACUCCAGAACUGCCUUUGAUACUGGCGAUCUCGAGUUCGGGAGAGGUGAGUGGAACUGCGAGUGUAGAGGUGAAAUUCGUAGAUAUUGAGAGGAACACCGGUGGCGAAGGCGGCCAUCUGGACGGUGACUGACGCUGAGACGCGAAAGCGUGGGGAGCAAACAGG